rnacentral:rRNA from 1 species
GACGAACGCUGGCGGCGUGCCUAAUACAUGCAAGUCGAACGCAGUGGGGACGGGUGAGUAACACGUGGGUAACCUCCCGUCAGAGGGGAUAACCCUUGGCAACAGGUGCUAAACCGAUACUGAUGGAUGGACCCGGGGUGCAUUAGCUAGUCGGUGAGGUAACGGCUCACCAAGGCCACGAUGCAUAGCCGACCUGAGAGGAUGAGCAGCCACACUGGGACGGAGACACGGCCCAGACUCCUACGGGAGGCAGCAGGGGGGAAUAUUGGGCAAUGGACGAAAGUCUGAUCGAGCAACGCCGCGUGAGUGAAGAAGGUUUUCGGAUCGUAAAGCACUGUUGUUAGGGAAGCGGUAUCUAACGAGAAAGCAACGGCUAACUACGUGCCAGCAGCCGCGGUAAUUC